UCCGUAGGCGGGCAAUUAAGUCAGAGGUGAAAUCCCACAGCUCAACUGUGGAACUGCCUUUGAUACUGGUUGUCUUGAGUUAUAGUGAAGUAGAUAGAAUAUGUAGUGUAGCGGUGAAAUGCAUAGAUAUUACAUAGAAUACCGAUUGCGAAGGCAGUCUACUAACUGUAUACUGACGCUAAUGGACGAAAGCGUGGGAAGCGAACAGGAUUAGAUACCCUGGUAGUCC
rnacentral:rRNA from 1 species